UACAGAGGGUGCGAGCGUUGUCCGGAAUCACUGGGCGUAAAGGGCGCGUAGGUGGUUUGGUAAGUGUGUGGUGAAAGCCCGGGGCUCAACCCCGGGUCUGCCGCGCAAACUGCUGAACUUGAGCAUACUAGAGGCAGGUUGAAUUCCGGGUGUAGCGGUGGAAUGCGUAGAGAUCCGGAAGAACACCAGUGGCGAAGGCGGCCUGCUGGGGUAGAGCUGACACUGAGGCGCGCAGCGUGGGGAGCAAACAGG
rnacentral:rRNA from 1 species